CAGCAGCCGCGGUAAAACGUAGGGUGCGAGCGUUAAUCGGAAUUACUGGGCGUAAAGCGUGCGCAGGCGGUUCGGAAAGAGAGAUGUGAAAUCCCAGGGCUUAACCUUGGAACUGCAUUUUUAACUACCGGACUAGAGUGUGUCAGAGGGAGGUGGAAUUCCGCGUGUAGCAGUGAAAUGCGUAGAGAUGCGGAGGAACACCGAUGGCGAAGGCAGCCUCCUGGGAUAACACUGACGCCCAUGCACGAAAGCGUGGGGAGCAAACAGGAUUAGAUACCCCCGUAGUCCCUGUCUCUUAUAC
rnacentral:rRNA from 1 species